UCGGGAAUUUUGGGCAAUGGGCGAAAGCCUGACCCAGCAACGCCGCGUGAAGGAUGAAGUAUUUCGGUAUGUAAACUUCGAAAGAAUAGGAAGAAUAAAUGACGGUACUAUUUAUAAGGUCCGGCUAACUACGUGCCAGCAGCCGCGGUAAUACGUAGGGACCAAGCGUUGUUCGGAUUUACUGGGCGUAAAGGGCGCGUAGGCGGCAAUUCAAGUCAUCUGUGAAAUCUCCGGGCUUAACUCGGAACGGUCAGAUGAUACUGCUUUGCUAGAGUGCAGAAGGGGCAAUCGGAAUUCUUGGUGUAGCGGUGAAAUGCGUAGAUAUCAAGAGGAACACCUGAGGUGAAGACGGGUUGCUGGGCUGACACUGACGCUGAGGCGCGAAAGCCAGGGGAGCAAACAGGAUUAGAUACCCGAGUAGUCCCUGAGCGGGCUGGCAAGGCGCAU
rnacentral:rRNA from 1 species